GACGAACGCUGGCGGCGUGCUUAACACAUGCCAGUCGAACGGAAAGGCCCUGCUUUUGUGGGGUGCUCGAGUGGCGAACGGGUGAGUAACACGUGAGUAACCUGCCCUUGACUUUGGGAUAACUUCAGGAAACUGGGGCUAAUACCGGAUAGGAGCUCCUGCUGCAUGGUGGGGGUUGGAAAGUUUCGGCGGUUGGGGAUGGACUCGCGGCUUAUCAGCUUGUUGGUGGGGUAGUGGCUUACCAAGGCUUUGACGGGUAGCCGGCCCGAGAGGGUGACCGGCCACAUUGGGACUGAGAUACGGCCCAGACUCCUACGGGAGGCAGCAGUGGGGAAUAUUGCACAAUGGGCGGAAGCCUGAUGCAGCAACGCCGCGUGCGGGAUGACGGCCUUCGGGUUGUAAACCGCUUUCGCCUGUGACGAAGCGUGAGUGACGGUAAUGGGUAAAGAAGCACCGGCUAACUACGUG
rnacentral:rRNA from 1 species